UACAUGGGGUGCAAACGUUGCUCGGAAUUACUGGGCGUAAAGGGCUCGUAGGUGGCCAACUAAGUCAGACGUGAAAUCCCUCGGCUUAACCGGGGAACUGCGUCUGAUACUGGAUGGCUUGAGUUCGGGAGAGGGAUGCGGAAUUCCAGGUGUAGCGGUGAAAUGCGCAGAUAUCAGGAGGAACACCAGCGGCGAAGGCGGCGCUCUGGGCUGGAACUGACGCUGAGGAGCGAAAGCGUGGGGAGCGAACAGG
rnacentral:rRNA from 1 species